rnacentral:rRNA from 1 species
GCUUACGGCCACACCUCCCUGAGCCCGCCCGAUCUCGUCUGAUCUCGGAAGCUAAGCCAGGGUCGGGCCCGGUUAGUACUUGGAUGGAGACCGGCCUGGGAAUCCCAUGUUGUAAGCC